CUUGGACAAAUCAUUUUUAAAAAUAUUUCUGAGCUUUAUAUCCCUUCUUCUACAAAAUAAAAUUUUGAAUUAAAAAAGUCUUAUGUUCUAAAAUUUCAGAGUAAUGGUUUAAUCUUAAUUCUAUAAUAUGCUUUUAUAAAAUAUUAGAUAUUAAGAAAAUCAGGUCAGUCUCUCUACUAUUCACUUAGCCCAGACAACAGAGUUUCAACAUUACUAAAUUGUAAAAUAAUCAGUUAUCAAAAGCAAAACACAUCAAAUUUUAUGACAAAAUCUUAUCUUUCAAGUAUCAAAAUACUCCCUUAAUCUCUGAGUCUUAGUUUUGUCUUUACUUUUGACAUUUUGUAAUCCAGCUGCUUAUAUUCUUUAGAAAGUUUCAAAGGAAAUAUUUAUCACUAAGGUAUGGUGUAAAUAUUCAAUAUAAUUGUGUUACAUAUAUCUUUAGCCUAACACCCUAAAGACAGUUUGAUUUAUCAUCUUUUCAGAAAAAUUUGGUCUGGAAAUUCCAAGAGCAUUACACUUAGAAGAUAAAUCUCCAGAAAGAUUGAAGCUCAGUGGAUGGGCCAAAGGGGAAUGAACUCAGUUUACAUGGCAGCUCAUUCACAUUCCUCCUUUUGAAGGGGUGUAUUUUCUUACUGGAGAUGAAAAGAAAAAAAAAUCUUUAUAUCAUGAUUCCGCCAUGUGUACUUCCUUCUGGAAGAAAUUCCAUACUAUGAUCAGGCACUUCUUUCAGAAGUCCUAUAUUUACUCAGAACAUGCUUUCUAGCAGUAGUUUGCAGAAGAAAAAUGCAACUUCUACAAUUGGAAUAAACUGCCUAUAGGAACCCAGAAAAAAUAUAAAGUAUAUUCAGUAGUAACGACUGAAAAACACUUGAAAUAGCUUCUUCAACACAUAUAUUGUAUAGCUAUUUAAAACCCAAAUACAAAUGUUAUAUGAAGACUUUCAAAAGGCCGCAGGAUAAUUCCAAUGGAUCUAUUUGUUCAGUCAUUCAGAAGCUAUAUCGGGAACCCAUCAUGGAUGAGCUCUGCUCUAGGCAUGGGGAGAAAGGAUGAGGAAGACAAAUAUGGCCCUAGUUCUUGUGGAUCUUAUGUUCUAGUGGUGGUGACUAUUACUUUUUGAAUUGUGUAUUUGCCACAGGGGAGAUUGGAUUACUCUUCAGAAAUUUUAUAAGCAUCUAGAGAUGACCUGCAUUAUUGCCUUGGGCAGGAAAAUAACAGGGUUGAAAAAAAUCUGAACAAAGAAAUCACCAUUUGAUGGAUAUACACAGGAUAAUCUUUUCUGAAGUUACUAAAAUGGCGAAGUUCCCAAAAAAUGUAAUGCGAAUUAAAUUUCACUUUGCCUCUGAGAAAAAGUUAAAAGAAUUUAUUAUUACUCUCGCUACAUGUAUUAUCAAAAAUGAAGGGUUGAUAUUUUUAAGGAAAGAAGAGUUGGCCAGUCACUUUAGUGAAGUUUUAUUUUUUCGUAAAUAUAGUUUGCCUUUGCUUCCAUGAAAAAAUAGCUCAUAAACCUUGACCCUGAUGAAAGCACUGGGCCAGUUUUCCAAUUCUCUGUUAUGUAAAAAGGCAUAAGUCAAUUGUUCAAAGUGAAACAACAACAACAACAACAAAAUGUAGUCUUAGGAAGCAGCAAGUUCACUGACUUGGGAUCUUUAUGACAGUUUUGUUGUUGCCAUUGAUAUUGUUUUGUUUAUUUUUUGUUUUCAGAUGAGAAAGUUUUCUACAUGUUAUCUUUUUUCUAGGAGCUCAAAGUGUACAUCAUUCCUUUAUUAUAGCUAGGUUUACUGACUCAUAUACUAAGGAAGUAGCUAAAAUUAUAAAAAUAAUUUGUUUUUAAAACCAUAUUUAACUAAGGGAACUAAGUAAGUUCCAAUGAGCAGUGGUCUCAUGCAAGGUAUUUUCAAUAUUUUAAAAUUUACAGAUGAAUAUUUAAAUAUAUUAUAAAAGUUUUAAUCAGCUAUCUCUAAGAAAAUACAUUUCUUAAAGGGAAAUGAAAUUCACUUGACUUUAAAUAAAACAAAUGAACUCAUUUCAUGUUUUUAACUAUUAUCUAACUCUUCCUUACUUUAUGAUGCUGGCAAGCUGUUGAGAGCCUUGACAUCUCCAUCUGCAGAAAAAUCACAGUCUUAGAAAUCCUAUUAAUCGUGUGAGGUACCUGGGUCAUAGUAGCAGCUUCAUGCAGUGUUAAAAUUAUAUGAUGAUUAUAUGCAGUAACAGAUGAAGAAAAAAAGAAAGAAAGCAGGAGAAAUGCACCACCUCAUUCAUUGUAAAUGCAGUAUAGUUGAUUUUUUAAUUUGUUUUAUGUCCUCUAGUGAUCUAAGCAUGAAGCUUGAAUUAUUAUAAUAAAGAAAAUAAAUGCAAUGCAGUUGGGGAUGGCAAAUGUUAAUGCUUAUCUGUAUCAAAGACUAACACUGUCUUCAGGAUUAUCCUUGGUGGAUUAUCCUUGGCAGACACUUAAUGAGCAGAGAGAAGCUACAAUGUUGAAGGACAAAAGUCCUUUGUCAUCUUAUUAUCGAAAUAAUGUUUAAUACAAAUAAACUUUUUAAAUUAAAAUGUUUGACUACUUUUUACCACUAAGAAAUAUUCUUGGCAAAGUUAAACAACAUCAAAAUUUUAAACAAUUCUUUCAAAGCUAAGAAGUAAAAACCUAUGAAAUUAAAAUUAUGUAAUUACUCUGCAGGAUAAUUUGAUGCCUCUGGAAAAAUGCAUGGACUGUUUUAGUCCCUAAUUCUAAUUUAUCACAGUAGUAUUAACACGUGCUUUUUUUUUUUUUUAAGAGGAUGAGGGAUUGAGACAGUAAACAUGAAUUCCUCAUAGAUAUUGGCCAAGUUGUUUCAUUGAACUUGUUGCAACUUACCUUGUAAUUGGAACCACAAUUUUAUGAGACCCAUAUCUUGUCUUCUUUUAUCUAUCAUGUUAAGAAAUAAACCAGUUCCCUCUUAAUUAUAGCAUUUAUUUCAAAAAGCAAUGUUAAAAAUAAAUGUAGAGUUAGCAAAUUCAGAAGUCUUUCAGUUACUUUAUAAUAAUAAAUCCACAAUGUAACUCAUUCUUCUAAAAAUCAAAAAAAUUUAAAACGUUCUGAUUUUGAUGGGAUUUUCUAUUUUAUAUGCUUGGCAUCCUGAAGAAGACAGCUUCCCUUACUUAGGUACUCUUUGGCUUAGCCAUUCAUCUUUGGAUCAAGUGUCACCAGGUAGUAUAAUUUGGUAUGGACUUAACACCUCAUUACUGAAAUGCAAAUCAGUCCUGACAAGUCAAAUAAGAACAAGUAUUGUCUUUUGACUAGUCUCCAAAAUUAAAAUAAUAAUUCUUGAUGUAUUUCUUAUAAACAAAUUUCAGAAGAGUUAAAAUGCCUCUUAAAACUAUUUAAUAGUGGAAAGAACUUGGGCUGUGCAGUUAAACACCUCUGAUCUCAAAUUCUGCUUUGCUGUUUACUACCUGUAACCUUGAAACUUUCAAAACUUUGUUUCCUCAUUUGAUAAAUGGAAAUAUAUCUUAUUUCACUGGGUAAGAAUAGAAAAAUAUAUGCACAAAUGUUUAUUAUAGUAACUUACAUUUCACUUACCAUUUCAGGCAAAGUUGGCUAAGAACAUGAGGCUGUUUCUGAUAUUUCCUUUUAUUUUUAUGUAUUAAUGAGAAUAAUAGGUAUAGGCCAUAUACUUAUUAGAGACUCUCAAUGACUUAUACUUAUUAUUCUCAAUUCAUAUUAUAUCAUAUUAUACUCAUUGAAAAUAAGCCAUAUACUUAUUAGAGACUUAUUUAGAGUCUUAUUAGAGACUUAUUAAGAGUCUCUAAUAAGUAUAUGGGUUGUCAAGCUAGACACAAAAUAGUACCAUCUCUCUCCACCUCUCUAAAGAGGACCACAUCAUCUCCAAAUGUAAAUAGACAAGAACAAAAAAAAUUGUGCAUUUACUAGGCAAUUGAAUGUUCUCCAAACCAAUAUUCCUUUGAACAAAAUGAGUUUGUUUGAUUUGAGAACAAUGAAGUAUUUGGCUAUUUUAUAAUCAUAAGUGAUUCAUACCCCCACACACUUAGCCCUCUAGAAAUGGUGCCAGAAGAUGAAACACAUUUAAUUUUGCCAUAUAGAAGCAUUGCAAAUAACUACUGGUUUCUAAUAAUGUACCUUAUAAUGCAAAUAAUGUUUUAAUUUUUAAAAAUAUCAGAAAAAGUACAACCUUUUAAAUUAUGUAGUUGCUUCUUCUUCAUAAUCAUUUUUCUUGAACUGGUGAAAAAUUUUGUCAGAAGUUACCACUUGGGACAUAUUGUACUACAGCUUCUCGCUUGGCUGGAGAAACUGGUUUUCCAGAAGCAGACCUUAUACAAGAGAAAAGAAGUAUUGCAAUAAUUUAUCUUCGUACAACCUCUACACAACAAACUGCCUUAUACUUUGUAGACUCUUUACACAUCACUGAACGAUUGAUGAAUGAAUACACGAACAUAUGCAUGGCUUGGUUCUUGAAUUAAUGCUUGGAUGAAUAUUCUACAAUAUUCUUGACUCUAGCAAGCUGCAAAGAGAAGGGAACAUGCCUGAUUGAGAAACAAAAGUGAUUUCUCAGUGCAUCCUUGCUCCUUCCCUUUAAGGACAACUGUAAAACCAGGAAGCUUAGAAAUUCCUUGAGUUUGACUGGAAAGAGAAUAGAAUUAAAGAGAAGAAUCAUCUAUGUAUGAAGCCUGGUCUAACUGAUAACGCAGUCAGAUUGCCAUUUUUAAGAUGGAAAAAGGGGAACAUGCUUGCCUUGAGCAGAAAAGUUUUUGGUGGGGCUGGAGCUCCUAAAUAUUAUUUUGGUCAUUUGCCCAAAAACUGAAGUACACCACCAAUGUCCCAAUUAUGAAGUUGAAUACAGAAUUAUAAAAAAAAAUUGUUGAAAGUCAAUAAGAAUAAAUCUUAGAAUUUGGACUCCUGCCACAUGGCAGAAAAAAAGCAUGAUGUUUUAAGACAACCUGGCCUUUGUCCAACAUGAUGUUUACCAGAUUGCUGACAUUUUCUAGCAUAACAAUACUAUUCAUCAUUGGGAUAACCAAAAGAAGGGAAAUAAAAAAAAAAAGAAGUCUAUUUCUUACUAGUCUUUAUUCAGAAAUGAUUUUUUUGGUAAUAUCUUAAGUAGUAUCUUAUUUGCUUUAAUAAAUAACUUGAUUUUAAAGAAGAUAAACCUCCUUACAAAAACUGGGAGAGCAAAUGUCUAAUCCAGGCUACCUUGAAAAUAGUGUGUUUUAGUGGAAAAUUUAGAAUUAUGUUAAAUAAGGCUGCUCAAUGAAAAAUAAAUGUAGGAAACCACUAUGCUCCUGUUACUACAGCUGAGUGAAUUUUACCCCAAAACAUGGUGGCUUAAAAAAAAAUUUAAUUUGCUCACAACUUGAGGUAUGGAAAAUUUGGGAAGGGCUCUGAAGGGCUGUUCUCACUUGGGGUCACUCUUGCAUUUGUAGUCAAAUGUUACCCGGGAUUUAUAAUCUUAAGAAGGCUAGCCUGGGCUGGACACCUGUUCACUCUCAUAACUGACAGUUGCUGCUGCUGUCGCCCACAAGCUUGGCUGUUGUAUCCUCUGGAUUGCCUCAGACAGCCUCUCUUUUUUCCUAUGGCCCCUGGCUGUCCCAGAGCAAGCAUCCCAGAAUUGGGUAGCAGCUGUACAACCUUUUCUGACCUAGUCUCAAAUGUUAUGGUGUUUCAGGCUAUUGAUUCCUAGAGGCAUCACAAGGCCAUCCUGAAUUCAAAGGGAAGAGAGAGGAAUUAGAUGCUACCUCCUAAUGGUAUUGGGAUAAAUGCAUAUUGUAGAAGAGCAUGCAGGAUAGAAAAUUUAAUGUAUGCCAUCUUUGAAAAAUAUAAUCAUCUACAUAUUUACUUACAUUUAUAUACAUUUCUAAUGAGAAGUUUGAGCAUAAUUAUGUAUUAUGUAGAGAAAGCCCACAGAUAUUACAUGUCCCCCAUGAAGGUCAUUAUUUAAUGAUUACAAACUACAUUAAGAUGUUAAAUAAUUAUAAUUAAAUUAAUUUACAAAUUAA
rnacentral:lncRNA from 1 species